GCUGGGUGUGGUGGCGUGUGCCUGUAGUCCCAGCUACUCGGGAGGCUGAGGCGGGAGAAUCGCUUGAACCCGGGAGGCGAGGGUUGCAGUGAGCUGAGAUGGCGCCACUGCACUCCAGCCUGGGUGACAGAGCGAGACUCCAUCUCAA
rnacentral:SRP_RNA from 1 species